rnacentral:rRNA from 1 species
AAUCAACGCUGGCGGCGUGCCUAACACAUGCAAGUCGAACGCGAAAGUCCCGCGAGGGAUAAGUAGAGUGGCAAACGGGCGAGUAACGCGUGGGCGACCUACCUUCGAGUGGGGGAUAACCUUCCGAAAGGAGGGCUAAUACCGCAUGACAUCCCGUGUUUGGAUACACGGACAUCAAAGCCGGGGAUCGCAAGACCUGGCGCUUGGAGAGGGGCCCGCGUCCGAUUAGCUAGUUGGUGAGGAACGGCUCACCAAGGCUCCGAUCGGUAUCCGGCCUGAGAGGGCGGACGGACACACUGGGACUGAGACACGGCCCAGACUCCUACGGGAGGCAGCAGUGGGGAAUUGUUCGCAAUGGGCGCAAGCCUGACGACGCAACGCCGCGUGGAGGAUGAAGGAUUUCGGUCCGUAAACUCCUUUCGACCGAGAUGAAUUCUCGCCGACCUACACGUCGGCGAGGUGACAGUAUCGAGGGAAGCA